CCCUUAGAUGUUCUGGGCUGCACGCGCGCUACACUGAUGCGCUCAACGAGUUUUAACCUUGCCUGGAAAGGUUGGGUAAUCUUUUUAAAACGCAUCGUGAUGGGGAUAGAUUAUUGCAAUUAUUAAUCUUCAACGAGGAAUUCCUAGUAAGCGCGAGUCAUCAGCUCGUGCUGAUUACGUCCCUGCCCUUUGUACACACCGCCCGUCGCUCCUACCAAUUGAGUGAUCCGGUGAAUAAUUCGGACUGCGGCAUUGACCGGUUCCCGAUCGUUGCUGCGGAAAGUUUAGUGAACCUUAUCACUUAGAGGAAGGAGAAGUCGUAACA
rnacentral:rRNA from 1 species